UAUUCCCUGUGAGAGUUGUUUAUGCAGAAUGGCUUCAUGAGAAAGGACAUAAGAGAUUCCACUAUUAAAUUGUAAAAGAAUGAAUGUGAUUAAAGACAAAGACGGUCUAUUCUAGGCCGAUCAUGGGCUACGCAGCUGAGAAAAAGCAGGAUGUGAAAAGACAGGUAUGUAGCUAAAGAUGAAAUAUGUAUCUAGAAGCAAGGACGGCCUAAGGGAAAAGCAAGAUGUGUAGCAAGUAGACAAAGCUGCAAAGAAAAAGUAUCUAUAAGGACUAACCACAAAGGUCAGAUGAAAUAAUGUCUAAUUCACCAAUCCUGAGCUUUAACUUUUGCAAUAUGCAUGAACUUAUUACUGAUUGUAUAAAUAAGAUGCUGUAACACCUAAUAAACGAGGCUUGUUGACCAUGAUAGCAUGAGACUUGUCUCCCGCGGUUACUUCCAACAAAUGGUGACCCUCGACGUGAUAAGGAAAAAAGGGUGCCACGGGUGAAGAACUGCGUUGGGUUCGGGUCCGGAUUUCACAGCCCGACGGACGACGAAAAGAGCUAAAAUUGGAGCUCCGCGUCUCGAGCGACCACGACAGGUGGGCUCGACCGACACGUGCUGCCGAAGCCUGGUGGAGGCUGCAAACGGUACCGACGCAGUAUCUUGGAAUUGUUGUAAUACAAGAAGAAUUUUAUGGAGCAGCAGUCAUGGAUCGAGAUGAGAAGUUCACAGAGCAGCAGCUAUGGAGCAGGAUAAACUACAUGAAAAAACUAAUUGAACAAUUGAACUGAAUUGCUUGUUAAAUAUGAUUUAUCGGUCGUUGAACUUGAGCCUUUUCAUUUUAAAAAGGAAACGGGGGAAAUGUGGAGAGUGUUUAUGCAGAAUGGCUUCAUGAGAAAGGACAUGAAGAGAUUCCACUAGUUAAAUUGUAAAAGAAUGAAUGUGAUUAAAGACAAAGACGGUCUAUUCUAGGGCCGAUCAUGGGCUACGCAGCUGAGAAGAAAUCAGGAUGUGAAAAGACAGGGUAUGUAGCUAAAGAUGAAAUAUGUAUCUAGAAGCAAGGACGGCCUAAGGGAAAAGCAGAUGUGUAGCAAGGUGUAGACAAAGCUGCAAAGAAAAAGUAUCUAUAAGACUAACCACAAAGGUCAGAUGAAGUAAUGUCUAAUUCACCAAUCCUGAGCUUAACUUUUGCAAUAUGCAUGAACUUAUUACUGAUUGUAUAAAUAAGAUGCUGUAACACCUAAUAAACGAGGCUUGUUGACCA
rnacentral:lncRNA from 1 species